rnacentral:sRNA from 1 species
UUUCCCAUCACCCGACUGGAUCCUCUCAGUAAGAUUCUACUUGGCAAGAUGAGGAAAAUCAACAGUCCAAGAAGCAGGCAAGGAGGAAGAACACGGUCGGGUCUCCUGAUUCAUUGUGUCUCAAUGGGUCCAGUAGACUGGAUAACGGGGUACAUAUGAAAAAAACGGGGAGCAAGAGGAGUCAACAUUCAGGCCUUCAGCACCCGAAUGGACUAAGCUUACUGAAGUCACCGGCAGGUAACUUGAUCAACGGCUGAGACAGCGCCCAUGGUGGGAAUUAAGCAGUGCCUGAGCCGCAGAGGCGUGGGGAAAUGACCUUGAGUGACUGUGGCAUGCGGGCAGCCUUGUUUCACAUGAGGACAUCGCCUGCUCUGCAUCUGCCUUGCACACUGAAGGCUGUGUGCGUCCAGUGUCUGCAGGGUCGAUGGUGACAUUUCUCUUCCAGCCUCUUGCUCCAGAGGCGGGAGCCAUGUGUCAACAGCCAGGCCUCAGGCAGAACGGCAGAACUCCUGGUCCUGCUCUGGCUGACUGGUGACAGAUAGGGCAGCUUACAGUAGAGAAGGGAGUGGGUGGCGUUGCUCUCCGGUGUUUCCAGCCCUCCACCACCCUAGCUGCAAAAGACCAUCCCAGCAAAUGAUCUGAUCUGUUCUGAGGGUCAAGGGUCACAGUUGAGAGACGCACGGCCAGACAGGUGUCUAGGAGCCAUAUGCUGACACCAGCCAGUUCCAGAAGGUGAUACUGCUCUGUCCAGGAGCCAGUGGCACAGGAGAAACUUGAGGUCUUUUGGUUUGAUGAGCAUUGUUAGCUCUGACUUCAGAUAAGCAGAGCAAACAAGCCACAGUCCAAGUGGGAACUGGUUCUGCCCCUUUGUUUUGCUUUUCUAAGUCAUCAAAGCCAAGUUUCUCAAGCCUGAAUACCUCUGCUUUCUGAUGGUCCCAUUGUGUUUUUAUUGUGCUUCUGACAAGUGCUAACAGACCACUUUCAAAGUGUGUUGAUGUUUCGGUUGUUUUUGAAUGGCCCUUCUGUUUUCCUGCAUCUGGGCAGCAUUAGCCUCUGGCCCCAGGGAACGACUGGGUUCCUAUAAAAAGUGUACCAGGUCCCCUUAUGUGGAAAAACUGGCCAGGACAAGAUCAGACACCCAUCUGGGCAGGAACAUACAGCACAAAUGUGAACACCAUUCACCAGCUGCAGAAGCCAGGUCAGGCUGGGAAGAGGCCAGUGAGCCUUGCCAAAUGGACUGUGGGUGUUCUCUUUCUGUGUGUGGACACAUUGUGAUCUUCCUGAGGGAGGAUACCAAUAAGAAGAGUGCCUGGCACUAGGCAAUGCCACCAAAUGUUUGUUGUCCCUCUGUCCUCUUAGCUCAAGUUGCUUGUCAAUUACCAACAUAAGAGGCUCCUGAGAACUGGCCACACAGGGACCAGAGUUGGGACACACAGGACAGUCUAGAGUUCAGAGGGUUUACUAGGAGAGAGAGGCAGACCUUAUCUGUUUGAUAUCUGAGCUUUCUUGAGGGAUCUUUUGCUCUAUUGCUUGAAGGGCUAAAGCAGGGAGCGGGUAGGGCAGGGUGGGCAUGUUUCCUCCAGAUUCUAUCUAGGGGUUGUAUGGCUGGCUCGUUCCUUUGUGCUUCUGUUGUGUGUCCUGCCUUCCCUUCACCAUAACACUUUAGGCUAAGCAAAGUCAGGUUCAAAAUGGCUGCCUCCAGUGGAAGAGUCUUUGGGUAUGGACGAGGCUUCCAGGAAGUGAGCCACACGUAUCAUCUCGCUCAUUUAAUGCUAUCCGCAGACUCUCUCGCUUGUCCGAAGGCUAUCUUCAUUUUUUUUUUUCUUUUAAGCUGGCUGAGUUUCCCUUUAGCUCCAACCUCACCAGCUCAUGAACUGUCUGUCCUCCCUUGAGUUUCCAGAGUUGCAGGGCUCUCCCCUAACUGACUUCUAGUCUACUCUGGGACUCAUGUUAACGAGAUCCCAUCUUUAUUCCUUUACCCCGAUGCAUCAAUCCCUGCUCCCAUCCCCACCCCCUGUUGAAUUUAUACUAGGAGUCAGAGGAGCUGAGACUGGCUGGUGCUAAGCGAUCUGGUGCUACUGUUAGAUAAGCAGGUCGCCCUGAUGAGGGAAACACUAGCGGUUCUAAAACAGGACUAUGGAGUCUCUUACACCUGCAGUAGAUAUUUAUAUCUAUAAACACAUCGGGGUGGGCAGGGAUUGCCCUGUCUGUGUUCAUAAGGCCUUAGACCUCUUGAGUCUCCCUUCAUCUAUGGGAGGCCCUCCCUGGCUUUUGCUUCAAAAUGUAAAUUAUUGCAUCAGUCAGCUUUCUGUUACUGUAACAAAUAUCUGGACGAUCAACAUAUGAAGAGAAAAGAUUCACUUCUGUGCCUAGUUUUGGUCAUAGACUAAAAACCUACGGAGGACAGGCAACGCAGUAGCCAGCACUUGGACCUCGACUUACUUAGCCUCCCAAUUUCCACUAUGGCAAGAAUUUUGUUGGCCCCUGUUCCUUCAAGAACAAGAAAACAAAUGUAGACAGCUCUAGAGCCUGACAGGCUGAGAUGGUGGGUCACAGAGAAGUGGAACAUGGCAUCCAUGAAGCAAGAGUAUCCUCAGGAGGGUAUUUCUUGAGUCUCUGGAUGGGCCUGGUAGAGAACCGUGUGGUCUUAUGUGUGUAUAUGCUUGUGAACACCUGUCACUUUGAGAAAUUUCCAACUCUAUGUAGCAGUUUCCUUCUCACCAGGGUCUCUCCUUGUCUGAAACUUUAAUUUUAUAGCUGUGGCUGUUAAUGCAUCAUGGGUACCACCGUCAAUAAAUAUUUAUUGAGCUUUCA